rnacentral:rRNA from 1 species
UACGGAGGGUGCAAGCGUUAUCCGGAUUCACUGGGGUUUAAAGGGUGUGUAGGCGGAUUUUUAAGUCAGUGGUGAAAUCUCCGGGCUCAACCCGGAAACUGCCAUUGAUACUAUUAGUCUUGAAUUCUGUUGAGGUGGGCGGAAUACAUCAUGUAGCGGUGAAAUGCUUAGAUAUGAUGUAGAACACCGAUUGCGAAGGCAGCUCACUAAGCAGACAUUGACGCUGAGGCACGAAAGCGUGGGGAUCAAACAGG